rnacentral:rRNA from 1 species
UACGUAGGGGGCAAGCGUUAUCCGGAUUUACUGGGUGUAAAGGGGGCGCAGACGGCGAUGCAAGCCAGGGGUGAAAGCCCGGGGCCCAACCCCGGGACUGCUCUUGGAACUGCGUGGCUGGAGUGCAGGAGGGGCAGGCGGAAUUCCUGGUGUAGCGGUGAAAUGCGUAGAUAUCAGGAGGAACACCGGUGGCGAAGGCGGCCUGCUGGACUGCAACUGACGUUGAGGCUCGAAAGCGUGGGGAGCAAACAGG